AAGAGAAUAGACAUUUUCAACUACAAAACUCUAAGAGAAAAAAAAAAAGAAAAUCAAUUGUAAUUACUAACCCGCUCGGCGGCCACAUCAAGAUGUUUAGUCCCUGCAAAUGGACUCAGCUACCCACGAGUCUGAAAUCAAAAGAAGACCAAAAGUGUCAAUUUUUACACGAGCUAAUCAUACUACUAGUGAUCAGAGUGUAACCUUUCCUUCCCCAGCCUAUGCAAGCCACAGCUCAUGAAAAAGUUACCAACCAAUUUGCUUUUCUCUUCUUCUUUUACUUGUUGAAACCCAGAAAAUCAGAACAGUGAAGGUUUAACUCACUCGGUAAAACCCAAAGGGGAAUCAGAAUAUGGAAGAAAAAAAAAGCAUUACGUUUGUUUAGCGAAGCAAGAGAGGAGCGGCAACGCAAAGAUCUGCUCCCGAGCAAAGUAAUCGAAGUGCCAUAGCUUCUACAGAAAUAAUAGUCAUCUAUGUAAGGUUUUGGGCUUCAGAUAUUCUACCUGGGCCAACGAUAGCAUCACUCCUAUGGGCCAAGACAAGGACGCAGGCCCAUCUCCUGUGUACCCCGUGUACCUUGCUAACACAUAUAUAACGAGUGGUUAAUAUGUUGUUAGGUCAAGCAGUCUAAGGAAAUACACAGAACGUUUACGGCAACAAGGAUCAGAUCAAUCAGCAAUAAGCAAGAGGAAGGAGACAACAAUACAAGAUAAAUAGCUUAGACCUAAGUUUAUUUGAUCUAAGGGCUUUGUUGUAUCCUCUAGCUUGGAGUAUUUGGUUCUUGGUAAACAAACUAUCUAGCACACUGAUUUGGUGUUGCUAGAGUCUCUUUGAUCUAGUGGAACUUGGGAGCUGCAGUUCUCCCACGAGACGUACCGCGCCGAGGGCCGGGAACUCGUUAAAUUGACUGUGUCUUUAGUUUCAGUCUAAACUUAGAUCUAAGACUAACUUCUAACCUAAGUAACCUAAGUUAAUAAUCUCUACAAGUGGUAUCAGAGCUUCCGGGUUAUUAAGGCUACUUAGGAGAGAGAGACAGAGUCAUAUCCAUUACCUGUUCAAUGGUGACUUCGAAGGAACGUGUGGAUAUUGACAGGUUCGAGGGUGAUGGUGAUUUCGCCCUAUGGAAGGUGAGGAUGCUUGCUCAUUUUGGAGUGCUUGGACUUAAAUCCAUUCUCAUUGACACGAAGCUUCUAAAGGAGGGAUCAGACGCAAAGGAUGAACCCGAGUCUGCCAUGAAGGACUCGGGAAAGGGACUUGCUGGAAUUGUUGACCCUGCACCUGCGAUAGACCCUGCAAAAUUUGAGAAAUCAGAAAAAGCCAAAGACCUGAUUGUGCUGAAUGUUGGGAAUAAGGUACUAAGAAAAAUUCAACAUUGUGAGACUGCUGCUGCAAUGUGGAGUACACUGAACAAUCUCUACACAGAGACUUCCCUACCCAACAGGAUUUAUCUACAGCUCAGGUUCUACACUUUCAAGAUGGUUGACUCAAAAUCUAUUGAUGAGAAUGUUGAUGACUUCCUAAAGCUUGUAGCAGACUUAAACAAUAUGCAAGUUGAAGUAUUAGAGGAAGUUCAAGCUAUUUUACUGCUAAGUUCUCUACCUGCUAAGUAUGAUCAACUCAAGGAGACUCUCAAGUAUGGGAGAGACACACUGAGCCUAGCUGAGGUUACUGGUGCUGCAAAGUCUAAAGAAAGAGAGUUGAUCGAGAGUGGCAAGUUCACCAUGUCAGGUGGAGAAGGUCUGCUUGUAGACAGAGGCAAAUCAGAACAAAGAUCCGGAAAGGGCAAUGGAAAGACAUACAAAGGUAGAUCUCAGAGUCUACAUGGGAGAUCUAAGUCUCGUUCCAGGAACAACAAAAACACCAAGGGAUGUUUGUAUGUGGAAAGGAGGGUCAUUGGAAGCAUGAUUGCCCUGACAGGAGAUCAGCCAAGUCGCAAGACUCGGCGAAUGUAGCAGAAGAGGCAAAGCAACCUCUAAUAUUCACAGUCAGCACGCAAUACACUAAGGACGAGUGGGUGAUGGACUCAGGAUGUUCGUUUCAUAUCACACCUGAUAAGAGCUUCUUAUUUGAUUUGGAAGAAUUCAAGGGAGGCAAAGUGUUGAUGGCAAACAACACUCACAUCAACAUUCAGGGAAUUGGGAAAAUUAAAAUUCUAAAUCCAGACGGUUCUUUGGUUAUCUUAACAGGAGUUAGUUACAUGCCAGGCAUGAGCAGGUAUUUAAUUUCUUAUGGAAUGUUGGAAACAGCAGGAUGUCGAUAUGAAGGAAGAGACCUUACAGUUAAUUUCUACAAGGAUGAAAAAAGGGUUAUGUCUGGAAGGUAUCAUCUGGGACUAUAUUAUCUUCAAGGAACAGUCUUAAGAGGAGAAGUUAAUCUAUCUAGAGCAGAGAAGAAUAUGACUAAUGUUUGGCAUUCACGCCUCGGUCAUAUGAGUCUUGAUAACAUGUCAGAACUUGUCAAAAGAGGAUUUAUUGUCGACAAGGAUGUUAAGACCCUGGAUUUCUGUGAACAUUGUAUCAUUGGGAAGUCACACAAGCAAAGCUUUCCUAAAGCUAAACAUGUGACUAAUGGCAUUCUGGAGUAUGUUCAUUCUGACCUAUGGGGUUCUCCUUCUACACCAGACAGCCUUGCUGGAGCUAAGUACUUUGUUACUUUUAUUGAUGAUUUUUCAAAAAAAGUCUGGAUUUAUUUUCCGAAGACUAAGGAUGAGGUAUUUUCUAAGUUCAGGGAAUGGAAGGCUGAAGUUGAAACUAAGACUGAGAAAAAAGUCAAGUGUUUGAGAAGAGACAAUGGUUUGGAGUUCUGUAAUAAACAGUUUGAUGAUUACUGCAAGAAGGCUGGGAUUAAGAGGCACAUAACCUUCACUUACACUCCGCAGAAGAAUGGAGUUUCAGAAAGAAUGAACAGAACAAUUAUGAAUAAGGUGAGAUGUAUGUUAGCCGAAUCUGGCUUGGACCAAAGCUUCUGGCCAGAAGCUGCAUCUAUUGCGAUUUAUUUGAUUAAUAGAUCACCUAACUCUAUGCUGGAAUUCAAAAAGCCUGAAGAAGUAUGGUCAGGUUAUAAACCAAAUUUGGGACAUCUCAGAACGUUUGGAUGCACUGCUUAUGUGCACAUAACCGAGGAGAAAACGGGACCUAGAGCCAUCAAGGGAGUGUUCGUAGGAUACCCUAUGGGCACUAAAGGUUACAGGGUUUGGAUAGAGGAGGAAGGCAGAUGCAGAACAAGCAGAAACGUUGUCUUCAACGAGGAUGAGCUGUACAAACACACUGUUGCUAAAGGAAAAGAAAGCACAGAAGUGACCAAGAAAGAAAAACGAGCUAAGAAGAAGGUGUCAUUCAGUGAUGAUUUGAUCAGAGGGCCUUCUCCUUCUGUCGAAUCCGAAGGCACAUCUGAUCAAGGUGGAGAAGAAUCAUCUUCUAGCUCUAACAGCUCAAGUGACGAAGAACAAGAUCACGAGGUUGAUAGUGAACGUGAUCACGAGAGUGAGAGUGGUGACACUGAAACUCUAGACACCUAUGUUCUAGCACGAGAUAGGGAAAGGAGACAGAACGUGAGACCACCAUCUCGAUAUGAGGAUGGGAACUUUGUGGCUUAUGCGCUCAAUGUGAUUGAUGAUUUGGAAGUUCAGGAACCAAAAUCCUAUGCAGAAGCUAUGAGGAGUCGUGAAAAGAAGCUAUGGAAGCAUGCUGCAGAAGAAGAAAUGGAGUCUCACAGAAAGAAUAGAACCUGGGAUCUCAUUGAUAGGCCUGAAAAGGCAAAGCUUGUUGGAUGCAUAUGGCUAUUCAAGCUAAAGCCAGGAAUCCCAGGUGUUGAGGAUGAACGAUACAAGGGCAGAUUAGUUGCCAAAGGAUAUUCACAGAGAGAAGGAGUCGACUACAAUGAGAUCUUCUCUCCAGUGGUAAAACAUGUCUCCAUCAGGCUUACGCUUAGCAUUGUGGUGAGCCUAGACUUAGAACUAGAGCAGAUGGAUGUGAAAACAGCUUUUCUACAUGGAAGCUUGGAGGAAAGAAUCUUAAUGGAACAGCCUGAAGGCUUUAUAAAACCAGGAACAGAGAACAAAGUGUGCUUGCUGAGAAAGUCUCUGUAUGGUUUGAAGCAGUCUCCAAGAAGAUGGAACCACCGGUUCAACAACUUCAUGAAGGAUCAGCUAUUUGAGCGUUGCAGUAAAGAUCUAUGUGUCUAUAUGAGAGACGUUAAAACCGACAAAGCCAUCUAUCUGCUCAUCUAUGUCGACGACAUGUUGAUUGCUUCAGGAAACAAGAAAGUGAUCAAGGAUCUUAAAGAAAAGAUGAGUGGAGAAUUUGAGAUGAAAGAUAUGGGAAAGGCAUCCAGAAUACUGGGAAUGGAUAUCAUCAGAGAUAGAAAGAAAGGAACAUUGAUUCUGUCUCAAAGAAAGUACAUUGAAAAAGUGAUAAAGACGUUUGGAAUGCAGGACGCCAAAAGUGUAGUCACUCCCACCUCUUCUCAGUUUAAGUUUCGGAGUCUAACAGAAAAAGAAUGGAAAGAAGAGGCAGCACAUAUGGAAAGGAUUCCAUAUGCCAGUGCCGUAAGAAGCCUAAUGUAUGCAAUGGUCGGGUCGAGGCCCGACCUAGGAUUUGCAGUAGGCUAUGUUUGUCGCUUCAUGAGUAAACCAGGAAGGGACCACUGGUCAGCAGUCAAGUGGGUUCUACGAUACUUACAGGGAGCAAUGAACUCAUCUCUAACAUUCAUAAAGCAGUCUACACUAGAAGUUGAAGGCUAUUCAGACUCAGACUAUGCAACAGACAUGGACAGGCGACACUCAGUUACAGGCUAUGCUUUCAAGUUUGCAGGCAACACAGUUUCAUGGAAAUUCCGACAAAGCCAUCUAUCUGCUCCUCUAUGUCGACAACAUGUUGAAUACUUCAGGAAACAAGAAAGUGAUCAAGGAUCUUAAAGAAAAGAUGAGUGGAGAAUUUGAGAUGAAAGAUAUGGGAAAGGCAUCCAGAAUACUGGGAAUGGAUAUCAUCAGAGAUAGAAAGAAAGGAACAUUGAUUCUGUCUCAAAGAAAGUACAUUGAAAAAGUGAUAAAGACGUUUGGAAUGCAGGACGCCAAAAGUGUAGUCACUCCCACCUCUUCUCAGUUUAAGUUUCGGAGUCUAACAGAAAAAGAAUGGAAAGAAGAGGCAGCACAUAUGGAAAGGAUUCCAUAUGCCAGUGCCGUAAGAAGCCUAAUGUAUGCAAUGGUCGGGUCGAGGCCCGACCUAGGAUUUGCAGUAGGCUAUGUUUGUCGCUUCAUGAGUAAACCAGGAAGGGACCACUGGUCAGCAGUCAAGUGGGUUCUACGAUACUUACAGGGAGCAAUGAACUCAUCUCUAACAUUCAUAAAGCAGUCUACACUAGAAGUUGAAGGCUAUUCAGACUCAGACUAUGCAACAGACAUGGACAGGCGACACUCAGUUACAGGCUAUGCUUUCAAGUUUGCAGGCAACACAGUUUCAUGGAAAUUAUGUCUACAAUCAGUUGUUGCACUUUCAACUACAGAAGCCGAAUACAUGGCUAUGAAUGAAGCAGCUAAAGAAGCAAUGUGGCUAAAAGAGAUAUGCGCAGAGCUAGGAUUCAAACAACAAGAGAUCAAACUCUACUGCGACUCUCAAAGUGCCCUAGCUCUAGCAAGAAAUCCAGUCAAUCACGAGAAGACUAAGCAUAUAGCUACCAAGUUCAACUUCAUUCGAGACCUAGUGGAAUCAUGAGAUAUUGUCCUAAACAAGAUACACACUAAUGUCAAUCCAUCAGACUUCCUAGCAAAGACGAUACCUGGUCAGAAGUUCUAGCUUUGCUGUGAGCUUUUGAAUGUGAACUGAUAAGACUGGAGACGCUCCAGGUGAUUCAAAGUUGAAUAGGCCCACUCUCACAAUACACAGACAACAAACAAUAGGUCAAUAUGUGUGCAAUUGUGAAUCUAAGUCAACAGGGAGUGUCAAUAAAGAACAAGGAAUCACCUGGAGGAUAAUGAGAAUCGAGAAAGAGUACUCGGUUCAGGUGGAGUAACCAUGAGCCACCAGACAUUCUCAUACAGGAACAGACUCAGAAAGGGCUUCGUGAGGUGUACAGAAGCAAGCAUCAGGGUCUGGUAACUUAAGAAAGGCAUCAUCAAUGGAAUCUGUCAGAGACAGUGAAUUUACAUGCAGCCACAAGAUACAGGUGUUAGUAACAAGUUCGUGAAGUGGUACGAGUCACAAGAGUAGUUCAGAAGUGGCUUACCAACAUAACGUGACAGUGUCUGAUUAAUCAAGGGGUUUCAAUAUAGAAACCAAGAUAGCUCAUCAUCGAGCUGUUAGACUCGUGAAACAUUACAGAGGAGUCAGAUCGACAAACGACAAGCAGAUUAUAGUGGGUUUGCUGAGAAAGGGGAUUACCUGUUCUAAGAAAGAGGUGAAGCAUAUUGAUGGAGCUUUGGUAUGAGCUCAAGCGGUGAGUGAAUCAAGAUCGCUCUCGGAGAUGAAGCUCAUGACAGAGCUGAAUCGCAUGUCGGGGGAGGCGAAUCUAUAACCGGAGAAGACAUGCAAAACGGAGUCAGAGGGUUAGCCAAUCGCUAACUCAAAACGACUUCUCAUCCUUACAUAUGACCCUACUCUCUGGAAAUAUAAAAGGGAGUAGAUGUACCUGAGGAUAAAGGAGAAAGAUGAGACACGCCAUCAUGGUGGAUCUGAUCAGAUCUUCCUCGGCGAAGCUAGACGAAGCUUCAAGUACUCACGGCGGAAGAGUCGAGAAGAAACGAGGGAGAGAGAGAGAGACGCUAGAGAAAGAGAGUGGGAAAUCGCGUCUGAUUUCAUCACUAGCCAGACAAAGAGACACGAGUUAGGGCUGUCGGCAGAAGAGGUAAUGGGCUGAUAAGCUUCAGCCAAAACGGUGGAGAUUUGUAAGGUUUUGGGCUUCAGAUAUUCUACCUGGGCCAACGACAGCAUCACUCCUAUGGGCCAAGACAAGGACGCAGGCCCAUCUCCUGUGUACCCCGUGUA
rnacentral:lncRNA from 1 species